UGAAGGACAUGCGAGACCGGCUGCUUGCUGCGCAGGCUGAGUUCCUGGAACUGGCUCUCCCGAGCAAAAGGCACCAUGUUCUUCUCAAAAAUGUAGCCCCUUUCAGGAGCAUCUCCAAAAUACUGCACAUGAAACCUCAAGGAUUUUCUGCUCGCUGACCGCAAAGUGGAACAGUUCCGAAUUCUCCCCAGCUUGACUAAGGCCUGGACAGCUGAAGAAAAACAUCUCCAAGCCUCGACAACAUGGCCACCACAACGCUUCACUAUGGCUCUCUUUUGUACCUUUUGAAGCGAUGGCCAAACAGCUCAAGUCUUGGUUCCGCAGCACAAUUUAAGCACAUGCGUUUGGGUCAAGUGAUUUUGCUAGGCCACCCUGCCGCCAUGACAUAUGUAGAAGACGGCAAAUUGUUGUCACGCCAGUACUUGCCAGGUCUUGCAGCUCCUUCACCGUUUUCGUCGGCCUCUCAGCGGCCCCCCUAACCAGUUUUCUUGUCGUCUUUUCAUCGAUUUUGGAGGGGCGUCCAGUUCUUGGGAGCGUCAUGGUCGUGCCGUACUUUCUCCAUUUGACGACAACCGUCUUCACUGUGUUCCACGGCAUCUUUAAAGCCUUGGAAAUUCUUUUGUACCCUUCUCCCGACUGAUAUCUUUGAACAAUGAGAUCCUUCUGAUGCUGCGGAAGCUCUCUGCGGAUCGUGGCUCGGGACUACAAAAAUGUCAGGAAAAGCCUAUUAGAACAUCUGAACCUGAUUUGGAAUGAAUCAGAGGCAAUCUACAUGGGUGCAGGUGUGCUCUGACUCCCCUUCAACAUGAGUUUGGACCGCUGGG